GAUGAACGCUGGCGGCGUGCUUAAUACAUGCAAGUCGAGCGAACAGACGAGGAGCUUGUUCCUCUGACGUUAGCGGCGGACGGGUGAGUAACACGUGGAUAACCUACCUAUAAGACUGGGAUAACUUCGGGAAACCGGAGCUAAUACCGGAUAAUAUAUUGAACCGCAUGGUUCAAUAGUGAAAGACUGUUUUGCUGUCACUUAUACAUGGAUCCGCGCCGCAUUAGCUAGUUGGUAAGGUAACGGCUUACCAAGGCAACGAUGCGUAGCCGACCUGAGAGGGUGAUCGGCCACACUGGAACUGAGACACGGUCCAGACUCCUACGGGAGGCAGCAGUAGGGAAUCUUGCACAAUGGGCGAAAGCGUGACGGAGCAACGCCGCGUGAGUGAUGAAGGUCUUCGGAUCGUAAAACUCUGUUAUUAGGGAAGAACAAAUGUGUAAGUAACUAUGCACGUCUUGACGGUACCUAAUCAGAAAGCCACGGCUAACUACGUG
rnacentral:rRNA from 1 species